CUCUACUCUAAUCCUCUCAGGCUUCUGCUUCAGCACGAGUUUCGUGCAAACCGUGGUCUGAGCCGAGAACGUGUCUCCAUUACUCAGGCCGAUCACCCAGAAGCCCUCGGCAGGGUUGAGGAAGACUGUGCUCUUCCUUUGGACCGAUUCCCGGACCACUCCAAUGUACCAGUCUUUGCUUUGGCCCACCUCGACUGUCCAGCUGUGCUUUCCUGAUGUAAAGCCAGUUGCUCCCAUCACGCUCAGACGGCUGGUGCAGCGUUCAGGAUUGUCAGGGAGAGGCCCACAUUCCUGUCUUCAAGGACAAGGACACUCGUUUGUAUUAGGUUCUGUGUGACCUCAGGAAAGUAGCCAAAGUGAGCUGUGAUCAAGCACCCCAACACCCGGAACUUCCCUCCAGGAUCUGAGGUUUUCUCCAGAACUUUUGUCCACACAUGCAAGGCUUUGUCAGUCUGAUUGGACUGAUACAACUUCAGGCCCUUCUCUAUCUGCUGCUUGGUUUGGUCCUGGCCCAUUUCUGGUGCAAGGUGCCUCGUAAAAAUAUUCAUUUGUUUAGGCCAUGC